rnacentral:lncRNA from 7 species
UGCUUCAAUUAGGGAGGUUUCUGUCACUCACGGCCUGCUGUCCUUCUGUGUCAGAGGAAACCCAGUGUAAUGAGACAUGCUGCUAAGAAGGUUCUGGAGGAGCUAGAGCACUCUUACCUGCAAUACCUGAGGAAUGUGCUUUUGUAGAACACUCAAAACGUACUUAUGAUUCUUCGGGCACAUAAGGCUGGACAGUCCAUUCACAGAUGGCCUUGAAGUCUUCAGCUUCUCUUGGUUGUCCUUCACAUUCUCUGAGUUUUUACUUAUUAGGCAGAAAAAGUGUUUCAUGGAGAUUCAUAGAAUGGCUUGUGUUGGAAGGGACCUCAAGGAUCAUCAAGCUCCAGUCCCCCUGCCGCAUGCAGGGCCACCAACCUCCAUAUCUAAUACUAGACAUAUAGACUUAUACAUACAGACUACACUAAGUAAUCUAUUAGAGCUUGAGAUAAUGGAAAGUCAUUUGGAAACUGGGAUCAAAUGAGAAAGUUGCACUUGGGCAAUGCAUAAUGUGUACAUGCUAAAGAUUGGUCAAGAUGAAUACUCUCAUCCAGAAGUCCUGUAGAUACAUCUUCACAAUGGGAAGUAUUCCACUGAAGCUACCUGUCCAUAUUAACAUGGCACAGAAUCCACAAAUGCUUCACUCCACUUCUCAGGCAAGCAGUGGAAGAAUUCUUGUAUCUUUCAUCUGUUGCUGCAAAGUGGUGCACAAGUCAAAAUCACAAUUGAAAAGUUAACAGUUGAUCAACCUUACUAUAAGCCUACUGAUACAAGAUCUGCAGAAAGGAAGGACUGGAUUAUUUGGGGGAAGAAAGCAAAAACAUUCAGAUCCUACAUCCAGAAGAAUUGCUGUUAAUGUUUACAGGUUUCAUGUAUGUUCUUUUGCCUGAGCUGUGCUUUGGGGUGCAUUGGCUCUUUUCUCUGGAGUAAAACAUG